CUACACCAAACCCUACCCUAUCCAUAUAUUAUCCCCCCGCAGUACCAAUUCCAAACCCUAACCCUAAUUCUCUGAAAACCGAAAUGUCGCAUUUCGGAAGAACGGGUCCUCCCGACAUCAGAGACACCUUCUCUCUUCUCGUCCUCAACAUCACUUUCCGCACUACUGCAGAUGAUCUCUUCCCCCUUUUCGAUAAGUACGGAAAAGUUGUCGACAUCUUCAUCCCCAGAGACCGAAGGACUGGAGAAUCGAGAGGAUUUGCAUUCGUUCGGUACAAGUACGCAGAUGAGGCGCAGAAGGCUGUUGAGAAGCUCGAUGGAAGGACUGUCGAUGGUAGAGAUAUUAUGGUUCAGUUUGCGAAAUAUGGGCCCAAUGCAGAACCUAUUAAGAAAGGGAGGGUAGUAGAAAUGUUUCCAAAGACAAGAGGCAGGUCGAGAAGCCGCAGUCCUAGGCCGAGGUACCGGGAUGAUUACAGGGGGAGAGAUAAUAGAAGGAGAAGUCGUAGUCGAAGCAGGGACAGGUAUGAUCGUGAUAGGAACCGUGGGAGGGAAAGAGAUCAUCAUCGUCGAAGCAGGAGCCGAAGUGCAAGUCCUGCUGACUACAAAGGCCGCAGCAAAGGCAGGGUGGAUGAUGAACCCAAGAAGAGCAGGAGCCGGUCGGUGGACAGUGGAUCUCCUGCUCGGCGCAGUCUUAGCCCUCGAAGGAGCCCAUCUCCACGUAGGACACCUUCCCGUGAUCGAAGUCCUGAUAGGCGCAGUCCUGUUGAAGAACGAUCUUCUCCUCCAGCAAGUGUUUCACCACGAGGACAUCGGCGUGCUCAUUCUCGAAGUCUGUCCCCACAUAACUCAGAUGGCGAUGACUGAUGGCAGUGUCUGGAUUCCUUGUCUGGUGAUGCCUGAAGGAAGAUGCAUCUCUGUUGGCUUUGCAGGAUGAUUGCGUCGGUUUUGCAUAAUGCAUGUUCUCAUCAAGUACUUAAAUGCUGCUUUUGUUCUGUUCGAGAAAGAGUGAUUGUGGCUGAUAGGGGAGAUGGUUGCAGAGGAAUAUGUCUUCCUUCCUGCUGAUGAUAUUGUUGCUGAUGCUGUUUAUACUUCCUAGAUGAUGUUCAUAUUGAUGCUGAUUGCAAACGAGUGUCUAAUCCACGCCCAAGUUCCUAGAUUGAAAAUAUGUUGACCUUUUUAUUGCCAUUGUUACUUGAUUGGUAAGUUUCAUAUUUACCUCUCUUCUGAUGUUCUCCUACCCAUUGGGAAUCUGAUUGCCAUUGAUUUUUAAAUUGUAAGCCCUGAUAGUAGUAGCUGUGCUGUGAUGGCCAAAAAGAUGAUUGGAACGGGAACGUGACUUUACAUGUAGCCGGUGCUGCCCAUGGGCCAGAUUUACUGUCCACUUGUGCUGAUGCUGCUGCAAAAGCUGAAACUUGGCAUGCUGAGCUGGCCCUGCCAUGUAAACGUGAGUUUGGGACUGGGUAACAGAUGUCCAAUUGCUUAUUUCUCCAGUAGGUUGUUCAGUCAGACUUCACCUUCUCUUUAAUGUAAUCUUUAUAGUCUGAGCUGUUAGGAUUUCGACUCACAUUGCAUCAUGUACUGGGAUGUGAUAGCAUUUGGGGUUGCGAUUGUAGCUGUAAAGUGCAAAAGACGGUGAGGGCUAAGUGGAUGUGAUAUAGCACUUGAGGUCGUGAUUGUAGCUGUGGAGGAAAAUACGAGAAUGUCUAGUGUAUAUCCCACCUGUGGGCUGUGGCGGGCUGUUGCUGUCCAUCAUGGUUGCAGAGGUCAGGUUGAGCUUGGUGUUACUUUUGGUGCUGAUGAGUGAUUCCUGGUUUGGUUGGUGGAUUGUUGUCUGCUGACCCCGACUCCAAUGGAUCUUCUUCCAUUGUGGAUGUGGUGAUACAUUAUCUGCUAAGAUCCACCAUCUAUUUUAUUCCAAGCUUGGAAAUUUCCAUUACUUGGAAGUCUAGGAUUGUUCCAAUGUUGUUGGUCCUCGAUGUGGGGUUUUUGGUUGGCUCAAAGCAUGCACCAGAAAUCAUUGGAAGCUGGAAGUAAUAGAUGAAGACAAUGCAACAGGAUGAAAUAUUCUGGCUUCAAAUUUUAAUUGAAUAUGAAAAAAGGAAUGCCGCUUGCAUAGAGCCAGAUGAUAAGAGUUAGAACUGAAACACAUCUUGUUUAUUCCUCAAGUACUUUAAUGUUCAUGUCUGUGCAUUUUGUGUUUU